rnacentral:lncRNA from 1 species
CCAAAAAUAAAACAAAAUAAAUAAAAUGCCACAAUCCAUUAAAGCAGGCCAAUAUGGCCUAAAUCAGAAAAUAAAAUACCCGGGCCCAUACCAGCAAAAUAGACCCAAAUAAUAAAAACAAAAGCAACCCAUUUUCAGCCAAUUUAAACCCAAAAACUACAAGCCCAAAUGCCCAAUAUUAAUAAAAACCCUAGAGGCCCAAAUGGCCCAAAACUACACCAACUUUCAAACACAAAAAGAAACCUCAGCCGCAUGUUGUUGCUGCCACCUCCUGCGCACGCCCACCGCCGCUACUCGCCAAUCGCUGGCUUCGCGUGUCCACGCGUCUGACACCAUCUGCCGCUGCAUGCUCCUCCUCCACUACCAGCACCUCCAUGCCCUGCAAGAUCAAGACAAAAAAAUAGGAUAGAAUAAUAGAAAAAGGAUGUAAAAAGGGGUUAUAAAACCCGAAAUGAAGGACUGAACGGAGGGGGGGAACCUUUGAAUAUAUAAAAAUCGUAUCAAACGAACAUUGGAAAUAAAAAGAAAAAAACACAAAAGGUUGAUCUCUUAUUCUACUUUCUUUAUUUCCAUUUCGUUUUUCAUCUCUCUAAUAUUUCCUUUUUAUUUUAACACGAAUCUAUUAAAUAAGAGUAGCCAUAAAAUAAAAAGAAAAGGAAGAGAAGAACCUUACCGGAACCGCCUGUGGUUGCUUCGCGGGAGGUCUCUCCUCCAUCGUCGGGGCUAAAAGAGGGGUGAGGGCCCUUUCUUUCGGUUCUUUUCGACUCAAGAAGGCUAGGCCUUCAAACUCUUUUGGAACAAGGCCGAAUGGCCUAUUCUUGUGCAUUGCCGGCCACCGAGUAUGGUGGUGGUGCGGCGGUCAGACGAUGGCAGCGAGGAUGGGUUUCGAAACCCUAUCUGCAAGGGAGGAAAAAUAGAAAAGGGAGAGAGAGAGUAGGAAGACUCUCUG